AGGAGAGGAGGAAGAAGGGAAGCACUCGGUGGUGGUCUGAUCUCCGCCAGCGCCGCCACCGUUAUUGCCGCACAGGAAGGGGAAGAACGACGCGUGUGAGAGGAGAGAGCGAUUGUGGCAGAGAAGCACCGUGUGAAAGGAGAGGGAGGUUCCAUCGCUGUUGCCGCCUUUGAUGGAAGUCACCACCGUAGCUGGGACGGACUGAAUAGUGGAAAGGAGGUUUCUUUGAUGUUGUCGCAGAGAAGAAGGGCGAGACGUGUGAGAGAGUGAUGCACAGAGGAGGGACCAUUCCUCUGCCGCCGCCGCCGCCGGAAUCUUUGGUCGCCGCCAUCAUUAGUGCUUGUCUCAAUGGAGCAGGAUGAUCCUUUAUACGACUUAUGUAACUUGUUUUAUGUUAUGGACUAGUAAGGUAUGAAAAAUCAAACUGGUUCAGCAUAGACUUAAUGAACCUAUGCUUGGAACAGGUUGGUCAUUCAUACAGUCUAGGAAAACUUUUAAGAGUUUUAUAAAGAAAAAUAUGGGUUUAAGAUUUUAGAUAAUUAACUGAUGCUGUUAAAG